rnacentral:rRNA from 1 species
UACGUAGGGUGCAAGCGUUAAUCGGAAUUACUGGGCGUAAAGGGUGCGUAGGCGGUUCGUUAAGUCUGUCGUGAAAUCCCCGGGCUCAACCUGGGAAUGGCGAUGGAUACUGGCGAGCUAGAGUGUGUCAGAGGAUGGUGGAAUUCCCGGUGUAGCGGCGAAAUGCGUAGAGAUCGGGAGGAACAUCAGUGGCGAAGGCGGCCAUCUGGGACAACACUGACGCUGAAGCACGAAAGCGUGGGGAGCAAACAGG